rnacentral:rRNA from 1 species
UACGGAGGGGACUAGCGUUGUUCGGAAUUACUGGGCGUAAAGCGCACGUAGGCGGAUCUUUAAGUCAGGGGUGAAAUCCUGGAGCUCAACUCCAGAACUGCCUUUGAUACUGGAGAUCUCGAGUCCGGAAGAGGUGAGUGGAACUCCGAGUGUAGAGGUGAAAUUCGUAGAUAUUCGGAAGAACACCAGUGGCGAAGGCGGCUCACUGGUCCGGUACUGACGCUGAGGUGCGAAAGCGUGGGGAGCAAACAGG